UCUCCGGGUACAAAUCACCUUUUACCUAGCUCUCAUCCCAGCAGCUGCUUUUUUACAUUUCACCCCGGCGGGUUGCUCGGCAGCAGAGGCGGUGGCGGCGGCGGCGGUGGCGAGGGAGCUAGGUUAUCAAACUUUAUCUUUCAAAAAGACUUCUCUUUCUUACUCGGCAGCCGCUGCGUUCUUUUAUAUAUACUUUUCUUCUCUGCUCACAGAGCAAAAUGGGAAACUCUAAAUGAGAAAAAAGAACACACACACAACCGACGCGGAGAAAAACAGCAGCAGCACAAAAUGCGCCGCUGCAUGAAUAUGAAAUGAGCUCCCUGUUUCGGUUUUCCAAAGAUUUCGCAACGCAGAAACAGCCGAGACUUGGCGCACAAUCGGGCUGAAAAAUUGAUUCGCGGCGUCAGGCCCUCGGCUUGGAAUGCAGUUGUGAUGCCCAUCCAAGAUUCCCUUUAGCAGAAGGAGCAGCCGUGGAUGCUUAAGUGGAACAGUAUUAUCCAUCUCUGGAGCCUUGUUUUGGUCGCCUUGGAGAGAGAAGAGGCAAGAGGGACCCGCCUCCGCGGUGCAACUCGCAAACUGGUGUGGCAAGAACACCGAAAGCAGGUCCAUUUAUUCGCUGGCCAACACGAACAUUUCGAUGCAAAUCCGGCCGGGCCAGCCAGCAGUCGAAUAAAUUAAUAUUCCUCACGACAUUCCAAAAUAAGCAUCGUCUGUGUGUGUAUAUAAAUUCACUCGAGCGGUGAAUAAUUUUUACUCAUAUGUGGAAAAUUGUCGAUGUAACCGAUUUGGCCAAUAAAUUGAUCAAACUUGA